rnacentral:rRNA from 1 species
UACGUAGGGUGCGAGCGUUAAUCGGAAUUACUGGGCGUAAAGCGUGCGCAGGCGGUUUUGUAAGCCAGAUGUGAAAUCCCCGGGCUCAACCUGGGAAUGGCAUUUGGGACUGCAAGGCUGGAGUGCGGCAGAGGAGACUGGAAUUCCUGGUGUAGCAGUGAAAUGCGUAGAUAUCAGGAGGAACACCGUGGCGAAGGCGGAUCUCUGGGCCUUGCCUGACGCUGAGGCGCGAAAGCUA